rnacentral:lncRNA from 10 species
GUAUAUCAGUCAGAACUGUGUGGGUUGCAAGUGACAGAAAUUGAAUUCAAAGUGGCUUAAGCAAAGCAAAGGAAUAUAUUGGCUCAAAAACCUAGAGACAGGGGUCUAGUUUCAGGUGCAGUUGCAUCUAGGAGCUCAAAUAAUGACUUCAAACUCUGUGGCACCCUCUGCUUUUUUAUCUUGCCUCAUUCUUGGAAGACUCUCCUUACAGCAACCUAGUAGACUAACAACAGGUCCAGGCAUAUAUUUUAUCUUCUCAGCAACCAUGGUAAACUAGUGUAGAUAGCAUCACACUUGGGAAAUGACCCACUAGUGUAAGAGUUAAAGAGCAAAGAAACAUGAAAAGCAGCUUAACAUUCAAAGUCAGUUUCUUUUGGAGAAUAAACCUGAGGGGUUUCUGACCAGUUUUGAUCGGGGGCACUCUCUCUUACAGACUAAAGAUGUUUAAGGAUAUAGGAAGUGGGGAGCUUAUCGUAGGUUCGCAAUGUUUCGAUGUGAGGGAAAGUUUAUCAUGGGGUUGGAAAGUCUCUGGUUGGAGGUGAAGCUAUCUUGGGGUCGGCAUGUUUCUGGUUGGAGUGGCGUUUAUCUUAGGGUUGGAAUGUUUCUGGUUAUGCUAACAUUAGCCAUUAGGCUGAUGUUUGGGGGCUGGAUUUAGGCAGGUUUUUUUUAAUCAAGGGGAAUUUAAAAUGGUGGGGUUUGUCCAAGAUAGCAAUGCUCCUGCUCUGUCCACUAGCCCAUUCUCAGACCUCCUGAUUUGGGUAGUUAAUUGCCUACUUGCUUACACCUACCCAAACUCCCAAGACAUGCACAGAAUCAGCCACAUACAUGAAGACACUGCCAGACCUCUGACCCCCAAACCAAACCAGAUGGCUGGAGGGACAGCCUGGCACCAUCUGACAGUGUUCAUAAGAGAAAAAAAUCGGGGAUUCCAACAUCAGGAUAUGGAUUUCACGAAUGAUACUCAACCUCCCAUACGAACUCAUGUGCUGAGCGACAAGAGGGAGAAGUUUACUUAACUUGGAAAUAACCGGUCAGCCCCUUUUACACAUGCUUGUUUCAGUCCUGGGCCAACAGUGGAAAAUGGGCAGUUCACAGACUCAAAUCCAGGCGAUCCUCUACUCAGCAGCUAGAAGAACUCGGGCAUGUUACUUCCCUUUGCUUUAAUUUUCUUGUUAGUAAAUGGGAAUAUUGAUAGCAUCUACCUCCCAGUGUUGGCAUGAGAACGAAAUUAGUUAUUGCAUAUAAAAUAGUCAAAAUCAUACCUGGCUCAUAAUAAAAAUUCAAUACAUUUUAGCUAUUAGACAAGUAGCAACCUGGACUUCCCUGCCUCCAGGGAAAUUCCCUUGUCUACACGCACAUGGUUAAUUGGGUGAAUCCCCCAAGAGGAACACUGGACCUCUCUAGGGACUCACAGAGGCAAAGUGGGAGCACCCAAUAAAAGUGUGGCUUGCACAUAAGGAACUUUGAUUUCCUUGCAGCUGUUCCUUGCUUGUGCUUCACUUGAUUUUUUUUUUAGAUUUGGGGGUACAUGUGCAUGUUUGUUACAAGGGUAUUACAUGCAUAAUGGUGUGGGUUGGGCUUCUAGUGGACCUAUCACCUAAAUACCAGACAUUGUACCCAAUAGGUAAUUUUU